rnacentral:lncRNA from 1 species
GAAAGGUGGCGCAGAGCCAGCACAGAGUACGCUUUCAGUGACAACAUGUGGAUUUUCUUCAUGAUCUGACUUAAACUAUACUUCCAAGAUCCUUCACAGUCGGAUAAGUGCUGAUGGAAGGAUUGAAACUGAGUUAAAAGCUCUAGAAGCCACUGUAAUGAAUAAUGAGAAUGAGCCCCUGCUCUUGAUGCAGGUGAGGAACAGAAAUUCUUGAUUUCUUAAGCUGGGGACAGGCACAGGCUUGCCAUCGGUCCUGAAAGCCUGGGCAUUUGCUCAAGGGCGGAUGCUGAGCUGUGCGCAGGAUCCCAGCUUGUGCCGCACCUGCCUGCCCUGCGCCAGGGCCACCGCCAGGUUGGGUGGGAGCACCCGGCUGCUGGGGCACGUCCUGCAGGGAAGCAGGCUCCUGGGAGCACGUGGCCACUACGGGUCUCUUCCUUUGACCGGCUGCUCUGGUGGGGCCUACCAGGGAGGGUCCUGGUGGGGACCAGGGAGCAGAGAUAAAGACAGACGGGAGGAGUCAGGAUGAGCCCAUCAGGGG